GGAUUCCCCUAGUAACUGCGAGUGAAGCGGGAAAAGCUCAAAUUUAAAAUCUGGCGGUCUUUGGCCGUCCGAGUUGUAAUCUAGAGAAGUAAUGCCCGUGCUGGACCGUGUAUAAGUCUCCUGGGAUGGGGCGUCAUAGAGGGUGAGAAUCCCGUCUUUGACACGGACUACCAGUGCAUUGUGGUAUGCUCUCAAAGAGUCGAGUUGUUUGGGAAUGCAGCUCAAAAUGGGUGGUAAAUUCCAUCUAAAGCUAAAUAUUGGCGAGAGACCGAUAGCGAACAAGUACCGUGAGGGAAAGAUGAAAAGAACUUUGGAAAGAGAGUUAAACAGUACGUGAAAUUGCUGAAAGGGAAACGCUUGAAGUCAGUCGCGUUGGCCAGGGAUCAGCCUUGCUUUUGCAUGGUGUACUUUCUGGUUGACGGGUCAGCAUCAAUUUUGACCACUGGAAAAGGGCCUGGGGAAUGUGGCAGCUUAGGCUGUGUUAUAGCCCCUGGUCGCAUACAGUGGUUGGGAUUGAGGAACUCAGCACGCCGCAAGGCCGGGUUUCGACCACGUUCGUGCUUAGGAUGCUGGCAUAAUGGCUUUAAGCGACCCGUCUUGAAACACGGACCAAGGAGUCUAACAUGCCUGCGAGUAUUUGGGUGGAAAACCCGAGUGCGCAAUGAAAGUGAAAGUUGAGAUCCCUGUCGUGGGGAGCAUCGACGCCCGGACCAGAACUUUUGGGACGGAUCCGCGGUGGAGCAUGUAUGUUGGGACCCGAAAGAUGGUGAACUAUGCCUGAAUAGGGUGAAGCCAGAGGAAACUCUGGUGGAGGCUCGUAGCGAUUCUGACGUGCAAAUCGAUCGUCAAAUUUGGGUAUAGGGGCGAAAGACUAAUCGAACCAUCUAGUAGCUGGGUUCCUGCCGAG
rnacentral:rRNA from 1 species